rnacentral:rRNA from 1 species
UACGGAGGGUGCAAGCAUUAAUCGGAUUUAUUGGGCGUAAAGCGCGUGUAGGCGGUCCGGUAAGUCCGCUGUGAAAGUCGGGGGCUCAACCCUCGAAUGCCGGUGGAUACUGUCGGGCUAGAGUGCGGAAGAGGCGAGUGGAAUUCCUGGUGUAGCGGUGAAAUGCGCAGAUAUCAGGAGGAACACCUAUUGCGAAGGCAGCUCGCUGGGACGUAACUGACGCUGAGACGCGAAAGCGUGGGGAGCAAACAGG